GACCACGUAGCUCAGUUCGAAGAGCAUUGGGCUAGUAUUCCAAAGGUCGUAGGUUCGAAUCCCACCGUGGCCG
rnacentral:tRNA from 1 species